rnacentral:rRNA from 1 species
AACGAACGCUGGCGGCAGGCUUAACACAUGCAAGUCGAACGCCCCGCAAGGGGAGUGGCAGACGGGUGAGUAACGCGUGGGAACCUACCCAAUUCUACGGAACAACUGAGGGAAACUUCAGCUAAUACCGUAUACGACCUACGGGGGAAAGAUUUAUCGGAAUUGGAUGAGCCCGCGUUGGAUUAGCUAGUUGGUGGGGUAAUGGCCUACCAAGGCGACGAUCCAUAGCUGGUCUGAGAGGAUGAUCAGCCACACUGGGACUGAGACACGGCCCAGACUCCUACGGGAGGCAGCAGUGGGGAAUAUUGGACAAUGGGCGAAAGCCUGAUCCAGCCAUGCCGCGUGAGUGAUGAAGGCCUUAGGGUUGUAAAGCUCUUUCAGUGGGGAAGAUAAUGACGGUACCCACAGAAGAAGCCCCGGCUAACUUCGUGCCAGCCGCCGCUGUAACAC